rnacentral:lncRNA from 1 species
AAAGAAAGAAAGAAAGAAAGAAAGAAAGAAAGAAAGAAAGAAAGAAAGCAAACAAAGGAAGGAAGGAAGGAAGGAAGGAAGGAAGGAAGGAAGGAAGGAAGGAAGGAAGGAAGGAAAGAGGGCAUUGCUUCAAAUCUGUUGGAGAUAUGUAAUUUAAAAAUCUCAUUGGAUAUUUCUAAUACACUACUAAUGAUACCUUAGAAACUGGCUCAAUGAUAGAGGGAUUUCUAAGCAGUGUAAUUUCUACAUUCGAUGAACAGCUCCAUGAAUAUGCAAUAUAAAGAAUGAUUGCAGCUAACAUUGUUUCUAAUAAGGCUUAUUCCAAUCUCUGGGUUGCUUUUAAUAAUCACAUAGUCAUUCAGAAGAUUUGUUCUCCUGCUCCAUUUUGAAGGCUGUUCUGUGCUUCAUAAAAUCAGUUCAUAUAAAACCACUGAGUUGAUUUUUCAUUUUGCCUUUUCUGGAUACCUAGGGAUACAAUUGCAACUUGUCAUUUAUUCUAUAUGCAUUUUUGAAAGAUAACAUUUUUUUGUAUUUUGGGGCUGUUGUAAAUAAAAUGCUGUAAUUACAUAGCUUAUAAACAACAAACAACUGUCACAUCCCAACCUAGAGGCUGAGAAGGCCAAGUAGAGCCAGCAGAGGUGGGUUCUAGUGUGAGCACACACUUCCUGCCUCACAGAUGAUGGUCUUGCUGUGCUUUCUCCUGUCAGAUGGGCAAAGGAUGUUCUUGGAGGCCUCUUUUAUGAGCACAAUAAGCCAAACCUGAGAGUCAGAGCCCUCAAUGUGAGCCCUUCACACAGGCUCCGCCACCACACACCCCCGUCUUGUGACUAAAUCUCAACAUAAUGGACUGGGAGAGUGGAUGGCACAAGGGUUCUGACUGUCACACCUGGGUGCGUGUCAUUCAAUAAGAGCAAUGAUGACUUGUUCCACCUAGAAAGUGCUCUGAAUAGAGAGGCAUCUCAAUGCAAUUUCUUCACCAUUACUCACUCAUCUUUUUGUGAUAUCACUUUCCUUUAUUAUCCAGAAACAUAAGUGGAGGAGGGAGAGCUACAGGGCAUGGAUCCACAGAAGAGGAAGUAGGAUAUCACUGUGAUAUAUUCUUUGUUUGUUUGUUUGUUUGUUUGUUUGUUUGUUUGAACUGAGUGUCAGAGAUCCUAGCAGGGUUCUACUCUAUGGACUGGAUGCCUCUUCUGUGAGGUCUUGAAUUCAUGGAAGUGAUUAAAAUCUGAUUUGGAUAGAUUAGCAUAUCUCAGAGAUUUCUAAUUAACUGAGAUUCUCUUCCCCUUGUCUUUUUUUCUCCCUCUUUCUUUUCAUUUUCAUUUUCAUUUUUUUUCUUGCCUUGAUUUUUGUUUUUAUUAAGUCAUUUUUUUUCUUUGUUAGGCAGAAUCUCACAUCAUAACCCCAAAUGACCUGUUACUCACCAUGUGGCCCAGCUGUCUUCAAACUCACCAGCCUCCUGCCUUAGCCUUCUAAAUGCUUGGAUUACAGGCAUGACCCACCAUAACUGGCUUUGUUUUAGUUUCAGAGAAGAUGAAACUGAUGUGCGUCAAAAAGCUGGUAGUCUGUCAAGGAAAUGAGCUGAACAUGUCUGUGUACAGCUUUUGUGCCAUCCCUGGAUGAGCGAGCUGUCUGCCUCUAUGUUCUCCACAAAAUGGAAUAUAGCUGUACACCCAAGCCAAGUUAUGGAGGCUGGGAAGACCUAGAAUGUGGCAUCACUAUUUGGAAACCAUGCCGAUUACCGACCGAGCUCUCAAUGGAAAAAUGCAGUCGGCGUGAACCACGCACGAACACAGCAGAGAAAGAAGAAAACACACACCACGAGGAACCCUAAUAGGACAAUACAUUAUAAGCCUCAUGGUACAUCCACUUGGUGUGCUGGGAGAGUCAGGAUGAGGACCUGAGAAGAACAGCAGCUUGAACCUGACUUCAUUUAACAGCCCACUGCCCUCUUGCCAAGAACCCAUCACAGACCUUCCCAGAAGAGAGGGAUGAGCCUCACCUAUGAAUAAGUCCUCAGAAACUCAAAUUUGAUUCUAAUGGAUUGUUUUCUCAGAAAGACUGAGCAUGUCCCCCCACAUCUCUGUCAUUUCCCACAGUAGUAACCUCUGCAGAUGCCACAUAGAAAACAAAACAAAACAAAAAAACAUGAGGUUGGUGGGCAGAUAGGCAGGGUAUAAACAAACAGCCUUGUAACCCAGAAGCUGUGUGAUAUACAGUAAACUUCACAACACUGAAAAGAUGUCCUAUCUGUUAAAAUGGGGUAAUAACAACUACCCGAAUGUUUAGGAAUAGAACUUCAAUAAAUGAUACAUUUUAUAGUACAGCAGACCAUCCUGUAAAGGUUUCAUCCUUCACUGUGGUGAUAAAUAUCCCAAACCACAUUGAAAAGCAUUGCAUCUACAUUUAUCUACACUGUAACUGUACUGUAAAUCAUGGGGGAGGGGAGAAUCAUAAAAACACCACCUGUCACCGUGUCAUUAAAGCAAGUUGGAAGUGAUACUUACAGAAACACAGCAAGAGCACCCCCAGUCACACAGUUCAAUCUCUUAGCAAGCGUUUUCUUUCUAGCCCAGUGGUUCUCAGUUUGGAAUUUUUGGCACUGCCUAGAGAUAGUUUUGUUGUUAAAACUGAGAAAAGAGCCGGGCGUGGUGGCACACGCCUUUAAUCCCAGCACUCAGGAGGCAGAGGCAGG